AACACUGGGUAACCUGCCUUAUAUGGGGGAUAGCCUUUCGAAAGGAAGAUUAAUACCGCNUAAGAUUGUAGUAUCGCAUGAUAUAGCAAUUAAAGGAGCAAUUCGCUAUAAGAUGGACCCGCGUCGCAUUAGCUAGUUGGUGAGGUAAUGGCUCACCAAGGCGACGAUGCGUAGCCGACCUGAGAGGGUGAUCGGCCACAUUGGGACUGAGACACGGCCCAGACUCCUAGGGAGGCAGCAUG
rnacentral:rRNA from 1 species